UACAAUUUAAUUGAACGGCUUACUCAAGGGCGGUCUGGCUCAUCCCCGUUAGAAAGGGGGUGAUGCUCAUGUCAGCAUUUGAAGCGAUUAGUUUGAUGAUUGCUUUUGGGAUUUUUACCGUAAGCAUUCUGACUUUCGUCGUGACACUGUUGGCACUGUUAAAAAAGAAAAAAUAGACCACCCUUGAGCUCCUGAGAAAAGUUAAAGGGUAAGGUCUAUUUCAAAAGAUCUUUCUAGCUUAAGGACCAAGCCAGCCCUCUUGAUGGGCCAAAAAUUGUACAUUGGAGUCAGGAUGUUUGCGCAUCCUGG
rnacentral:sRNA from 2 species